rnacentral:sRNA from 1 species
UGCUUCGGGUUAUCAAUAUUGAAUGAGUCCCAUGAGUGGACUACGUCAUCAGCUAAAGAUGCUGGGUACAGCGCUGCUGGGCAAACGUGCCACCAAGUCUGUCAAGAAGAAACCAUUCACAGAAGUCGAAA